rnacentral:rRNA from 1 species
UGGGGAAUUUUGGACAAUGGGCGAAAGCCUGAUCCAGCAAUGCCGCGUGUGUGAAGAAGGCCUUCGGGUUGUAAAGCACUUUUGUCCGGAAAGAAAUCCUUGGCUCUAAUACAGUCGGGGGAUGACGGUACCGGAAGAAUAAGCACCGGCUAACUACGUGCCAGCAGCCGCGGUAAUACGUAGGGUGCAAGCGUUAAUCGGAAUUACUGGGCGUAAAGCGUGCGCAGGCGGUUUGCUAAGACCGAUGUGAAAUCCCCGGGCUCAACCUGGGAACUGCAUUGGUGACUGGCAGGCUAGAGUAUGGCAGAGGAGGGUAGAAUUCCACGUGUAGCAGUGAAAUGCGUAGAGAUGUGGAGGAAUACCGAUGGCGAAGGCAGCCCCCUGGGCCAAUACUGACGCUCAUGCACGAAAGCGUGGGGAGCAAACAGGAUUAGAUACCCUGGUAGUCCACGCCCUAAACGAUGUCAACUAGUUGUUGGGGACUUCAUUUUCCUUAGUAACGUAGCUAACGCGUGAAGUUGACCGCCUGGGGAGUACAGUCGCAAGAUUAAAACUUAAAGGAAUUGACGGGGUCAUAGCUGUUUCCU